rnacentral:rRNA from 1 species
CUAACUCCUACCCUUUGUGAAUUACCUUUUAUGUUGCUUCGGUAGGCCUUAUCAGGUCUGCCGGGGGUCUAUAUAAUUCUGUUUUGCGAUUUGGUACUCUGAAACUACGUGGGAAAAUGAAGUUAAAACUUUCAACAACGGAUCUCUUGGUUCUGGCAUCGAUGAAGAACGCAGCGAAAUGCGAUAGGUAAUGUGAAUUGCAGAACUCAGUGAAUCAUCGAAUUUUUGAACGCACAUUGCGCCCACCAGUAUUCUGGUGGGCAUGCCUGUUCGAGCGUCAUUUCAACCCCUUAUGCCUCUGUUGCAUAGCGUUGGGGGAUUAUCCUACGUGGUGGGAUAACCCCUGAAAGUCAGUGGCGGAGUUGUUUUAUUCUCUGGAUGCAGUAGUUAAAUCUUUUAAUCUCACCAACAGAAUGGAACGACGUCUGGCCAGAAAAACCCAUCAUUUUAUAUUUGGUUGACCUCGGAUCAGGUAGGAAUACCCGCUGAACUUAAGCAUAUCAAUAAGCGGAGGAAAAGAAACCAACAGGGAUUGCCUCAGUAACGGCGAGUGAAGCGGCAAUAGCUCAAAUUUGAAAUCUGGCCCUUCGGGGUCCGAGUUGUAAUUUGUAGAGGAUGCUUUGGGCCAGGUGCCUUCCGAGUUCCCUGGAACGGGACGCCGCAGAGGGUGAGAGCCCCGUACGGUUGGAUGCCGGUGCCUAUGUAAAGCUCCUUCGACGAGUCGAGUAGUUUGGGAAUGCUGCUCUAAAUGGGAGGUAAAUUUCUUCUAAAGCUAAAUAUAGGCCAGAGACCGAUAGCGCACAAGUAGAGUGAUCGAAAGAUGAAAAGCACUUUGAAAAGAGGGUUAAAUAGCACGUGAAAUUGUUGAAAGGGAAGCGUUUGCGACCAGACCUUUUCCUAGCGGAUCAGCCAGUGUUCUCACUGGUGCACUUCGCUAGGUGGAGGCCAGCAUCGGUUUUCGCGGGGGGAUAAAGGCGGGGGGAACGUAGCUCCCUCGGGAGUGGGAUAGCCCCUCGUAGAAUACCCUCGCGGGGACCGAGGACCGCGC